UACGUAGGGGGCAAGCGUUGUCCGGAAUCAUUGGGCGUAAAGCGCGUGUAGGCGGCUCGGUAAGUCCGCUCUGAAAGUCCGGGGCUCAACCCCGGGAGGCGGGUGGAUACUGUCGAGCUCGAGUCCGGAAGAGGCGAGUAGAAUUCCUGGUGUAGCGGUGAAAUGCGCAGAUAUCAGGAGGAACACCGGUGGCGAAGGCGGGAUCCUGGGCCAGUACUGACGCUGAGGAGCGAAAGCGUGGGGAGCAAACAGG
rnacentral:rRNA from 1 species